GACGAACGCUGGCGGCGUGCUUAACACAUGCAAGUCGAGCGGGGUCCAUCCUGUCGCAAGACAGGGGAAGACCUAGCGGCGAACGGGUGAGUAACACGUGAGCAACCUGCCCCGAAGACUGGGAUAACACCGGGAAACCGGUGCUAAUACCGGAUGCCCUCAGAGAGUCGCAUGGCUCAUUGAGGAAAUGGAUUCCGCUUCGGGAGGGGCUCGCGGCCUAUCAGCUUGNGGUGGGGUAACGGCCUACCAAGGCUCCGACGGGUAGCUGGUCUGAGAGGACGACCAGCCACACUGGGACUGAGACACGGCCCAGACUCCUACGGGAGGCAGCAGUGGGGAAUCUUGCGCAAUGGGCGAAAGCCUGACGCAGCAACGCCGCGUGGGGACGAA
rnacentral:rRNA from 1 species